AAAAAAAAAUACAAACUUGCAAAAGGCUUACUGACCUCGCGGCCUCCCCAACUUGCUUGGAAAACUCUCAACUCGACACCAGAGAAAAGAGGAGCCGCCUCGCUCUCUCUCUGUCUGUCUCUCUAUUUCUUUUUCUGUCACACACUCUAAACCCGACCCAGAAGCCUGAAAACGAAUUUGAGGUACUUUGCAGCUCCUGAUCCUCUUCCUAAACGUAGUCGUUUACUGGGUAUUAGCUGUUUUCUCUCUCUUUUGACUUGUAAUGGGAGCAUCAUUUUUUUUUUCCUUCACCAAUGGGUGUUGUUUGUUCUGUUUUUUGGUUAUUUUGAACAUGCGUUUAUUGGUUUAUUUUUAGAUGUAGAGCAGAGUUUUAUUCUUCCACGAAUUUCUUGUUAUUGUGUUAUCCUAAGGUUGUUUUGGUUGGUCUUUUUGGGUAAAGGAAGGAACUUUGGUGGUAGAUUUGAGGGGUGAGAAUGGUCUGAGUUUCUAUUUUUGUUUUUUUAGUAUAUUUUUGUAAUUUUGUUAUAUAUUAUCCGGCGUUUAGAGCAGGACUUGCUGUGGACUUUGCGUCUUGUUCACUUUUACUUAGAUUUGAUUGUUUGAAAGAGAGCUUUAUGAUAUAGUUUGAAAUAGUGGUGGUAAUUUUAGAUUUUUGUAUCUAUUCUAAUUUUAGAUGGUCAAGUUGCAUUGGUAAGAACAAUGUUGGAAACAAGAACAUAAUGGUUCCCCUGUCAAUUGUUAAUCGGAUAGGUAAAUACCGUCUUCUUUUUUCUGAUCCAUUCACGUUUUUUCUGCUUAAUUUCUUGCCCUCCUCUUGAUUGGCGCUAUAAGCUACGGUGGAAGGAGGGAUGUGUUAAUGUUCGAAGGAAUGGUAGCUGUAUCAAUGGGAAAACAGUUACAUAUAGCUUGAAAAUUUUGUUUUGGUCUGAACAGAGAGGGAAACAACCAUUCUCACUACAGUAAUGUUUUCUUAAAGUUAUUCUGUUAGAAUUUGGGUUAAAAAAGAUUUUCUUCUUUCUUGUUCAGAGCAAUGGGUCAAAAGUAUCUACAUCAUUAUCAACCAAGAGAUACUUUGUCGAAUAACUAAGUUAUGUCAUUAUGUUGUAUGACACGGUUUAAACUGAAGAUUAACAAAAGAAGUGAUUUCCUUGAUGUUUCUGUUGGAUAAAUGCAAUACUAGAUUUUGGAAAGGAGUAUGGUUCAUAUGGUCACAGGUUGCAGAAAUGUGGUUGUUUUAGUCAGUGUUAUGUGAUUAUCCAUUAACUUUCUUAUAUUACCAUGCUUACUAGGAAUUGACUGUCAGUGCUCCUUCUUUGUCCAUUUUGUACUUGGCCAAAUUUGGUUGUUGAAGGAAUUAUAUAGUUGCAGGUUGCAGGUAUAAUAGUUCAGUUUAAUCUUAUGUUCUUGCUUUUGCGUGGUCUUUCACCUAUGAACACUGGUUUAAUUGCUGCGCCAACUUCGUCAACAUCUGUUAACUUGUUUAGAUGCUAAGAUGCCCUUUUCUUUUGAUUAAGUACUUUAAUGGUGCACAUACUGGAUUUGCGUAGAGAAAUUACAAUCUGGCUGCUAGUUGGAACAUUGUUUUAUUAAUGUGUACUCUUUGGAACCUUAGUUCCGUUUACGGGGUUGGACUUGAGGAGCUCUGUAUCAUUUAGUAGUAUGGUUUUAUAAAUAUUGUCCUUUUGGGGUCAACUAGGAAUGCUGAAAGUGAGGAGAUAUCUGUUAUAUAGAAACACAUCUUUUGGAUGUGAUUAAGUGGCCUAGAAAAACUUGAUUUGGAUGAUGAGUGGUCAUAUGCCAGGCUGUUCUUUUGCUUUCUCAAGAUUGAUCACUUGCCAGGCAUGGGGUGACAUCUUAAAUCGUAUUGAAUCUGGUGAAAUUUAGUUGCUUCUACAUGUAAAGAAUAUAUUGCUCACAUAUAGAUCAAGAAUAGUUGCUUUUUCUUUCAGGGGCAAGCACAAAGACGGAUGAUGAACGAGUUUUCUUUUUUGCAUAUUUGAGGAAGAUCUGCUGUAGCUAUUUAUGUAUUAUCCUCUUCUUUAUCAUUGUUCACCUUUAUGUGCUAUCACAUUUGCAGAUUAUGUUACGAGCAAACAAAUUGUAGCCUUUCCAAUGGU
rnacentral:lncRNA from 1 species